UCUCUACUAACUACUAAUUGAACUAUGCUCACAUGAGCAUUCAUUCCCAAACAUUUUAUUUAUUCAUCUUAAAAAUAAAAUCAUAGUUACUAAACUACUUGACGAUAAAAAAAUAUAUAAUGGGUAGCCGAGACUAGGAGAAAAAAACUAGAACAUGAAAUUACAAACAUGAACUGAAACUAGCAAAUCGUAACUUUUGGAUUAUAACUUUUAUCCUAAUCCAGUUUUCUCAUAGGUAUUUUUGAAGCUAAAGAGAGGAAUGUCAUUCAUACAGUUAUUUGAUGUAUAAUAUAGAAUAAAUACAUUAAUAAUUUAAUGAAUAUAAAAAAUUAAUUAUUUCCUAUUAAAAAAAACCGAAAAUAGUAUUUAUAACUCACGAACGAGUGAACUAACAAUUGAGUUCACCUGAAUAGAAAACAGUUCCAAUGCAAUCAGCUGGAAUAGACGCUACAAACCUACAAUGCAAAAAACGUGUAACAAAUAAAUACGUAAUUUUCUAAAAAGAAAACAGAUAAAUAAUUGAAGAUGAGAUAUUUUUGAAAACAUUAAUUAGGUGACCAAUGAAAUGGGACCAGCGGCCAAACCAUCAAUUUUUUUUACGCGAUGUACAGAUUUUAUUUUUUUUAUUUUUUUUUUAUGAAACUAACGGAAGGAUUUGUUUGGCUAACAGAGUUAAGGACUUCGGAACAACGAAUAAUUGUCUCUGACGGUUAAGAACUGUUCUGGACUGGGCCAAGAGCUGGCCCAAUCACUUAUGCCCGACAUUUGGGGCAU
rnacentral:lncRNA from 1 species